UACAGAGGAUGCAAGCGUUAUCCGGAAUGAUUGGGCGUAAAGCGUCUGUAGGUGGCUUUUUAAGUCCGCUGUCAAAUCCCAGGGCUCAACUCUGGACAGGCGGUGGAAACUACCAAGCUGGAGUACGGUAGGGGCAGAGGGAAUUUCCGGUGGAGCGGUGAAAUGCGUUGAUAUCAGGAGGAACACCCAUGGCGAAGGCAGGUUACUGGGCUUUAUCUGACGCUGAGGAGCGAAAGCGUGGGUAGCAAACAGG
rnacentral:rRNA from 1 species